rnacentral:sRNA from 1 species
UGGGAGAAAUAACGUGUACAAACUUUUAACCAGACAGACAGAGUAUCAGACAUGAUAAACAAUUCGUUAUGGCUUGGCUGUCUAGUUCUACAGAUCUUUAGUCUAGCUACACCACAAAAUGUGUCUGAGCCUGUGGCAGAUGUAACAGUUCCUAUGUCUGGAUUGCCUUAUGUUCCUCUCUCACAAAUAUUCACGAGUAUUCCACCACCACCACUGUUUCCAGAUCCUCCUCCUCCACAAAGAGCGACUGGGUCUCCGUCAAACUCUGUUUUAAAGUGGCUGCUCUUUAUGGAUGCAAUAGAUGUCAAUUGAAGGAACCAAAAGGACACAAUGAAACACUUAAAACAACAUUAGGGAUAACACCUAAUAGCUUUAUUUUUUUCUAGAACAAUCCUUUUCUCUCUAACAAAGAAAUGCCAAGGACAUCGUAGCUUCUGACGUCUAUAAAUUCUAAUUCGUUUUAAUCGGUCUUAAUUUUUUUUUAAUAAUGUCACUUUUGAGCCGUCUUUAGGAGUGACGCUUAACGCCAUUACAUUUUGAUGCACUUGAAAUAAAAAAAAUUGUCAUUUUGUUUUACUCCAUAUAGAUCUCUAUAAAACAAAACACACACACAUUGAACAAAGGUAAUCAAGGACAAAGAAUCCUCAAAAGCCACUUGCCAUUGAUCAGAGAAAUUCUAAUACAAAAGUUCCAACUGAAACUAAUGCAGCACGGAAACCUUCCAGAUACCCCUCCACCUCCACCCCACUGGCCCACACAAGUGAUUGAACCAUAGCACACUGAGAAGGCUAUAAUCAUGAAAGUUGUGUUAAACAUAAAACAAUGAAUAGAAAUAUUUUCAUUCGCACACAUUUAUUAUUGU